UAAUGCAGCUGGCCUUGUUCAUUUUUGGUUUCAGUUAAGUCGUCGAUCUGAAGACUGAAUGAACACCUUUUCUACAAUGGCCGGUUUUAUAUCUUAAUGUGCCACAUGCCGUAAUAUCUCGAGCUCAUCGAAACAAAUUGGACUUUGAUUAUUGACACCUGACUACGCGGCCCCUGUACACCCGCCAUGACAACCAAUACGGGCAGCUGGAUCUUCGUUGCUGGGCGAUGGCAAGGUGCACGUUAAGACGGAUCAUUUCUUAUCGUCGGUGGGCUUUAUCCGUCACAUUUCACUCCACGUGAACCACAUCGUCUUAUGUAUCAGAAGGAAACGGUGAUAAUUUAUGAUAUAUUAAACCAGCGAAGCCAACAACCAAUGGGCCACCGUCGGUGACAUAUGGCAGCGAAGUCGUCGAGGGCGAAAAAUGGCAGGUAUAGCCGAGAAGGAACGAAACAAACGAACGAGAAAAUUGAUGUGUGUAGGUUUGAGCUCCAAAGGUGGCGGCACUGUCGUUUGCGGUAGAGGCAGUUGACUUAAUGCCGCCUCCGAUAGCAAUGCUUGGUAAUCGAUUUGAUUGAACGAUUCGCUUUUGUCUCCGAGAUGAUUAUCCGGGGUACUGAUGUAAAUCAAUACGGGAUUAUUGAGCGUACCAAGACUUGUUUUAUAUCCACCGCUUUUAUCCCAAAUCCCGUUUACUGAAAAUUCAGGGAGAAAUUACAUAAGAAAGUGAAUGAA